rnacentral:sRNA from 1 species
GAAUAUGAGGAUAAUCCAUUGGCAGCACAUCAUUUCCUUGAUCAACAUGAUUGAUGAGGCUUAUUCGACUGGCGAGGAAUGUUUCUCUUUCCUCCCUUAUAGUUCCAUGUGCAUCCCUUCCAAAUCCACAUGCUCAAUCAAAGAAGACGGAUGGCUCCCCAGAGAGAGUAGACUGUUCUUCAGUCAAGGAUAUGGAGUGAUUGUGUUUCCCCACCAGGGGUUCUCAAGCCUUUGCGUGCAGCUGAGUCACCUGGAGGGGUUAUUAACACACACACUGCUGGACUCCCACUCCCAAGUUUCAGUCAGCUGAGCAGAUAUUAUUG